rnacentral:rRNA from 1 species
AGGGCACCACCAGGAGUGGAGCCUGCGGCUUAAUUUGACUCAACACGGGAAAUCUCACCAGGCCCGGACACCGGAAGGAUUGACAGAUUGAGAGCUCUUUCUUGAUUCGGUGGGUGGUGGUGCAUGGCCGUUCUUAGUUGGUGGAGCGAUUUGUCUGGUUAAUUCCGAUAACGAACGAGACUCUGGCCUACUAACUAGACGUCGGAUCCCUUUGUGGGUCCGUCGCAGCUUCUUAGAGGGACGGGCGGCGUUUAGCCGCACGAGAUUGAGCAAUAACAGGUCUGUGAUGCCCUUAGAUGUUCUGGGCCGCACGCCCGCUACACUGAAGGUAUCAGCAUGUGUUCCCUAUUUGAAAGGAUUGGGCAACCCGUUGAAACACCUUCCCGAUGGGGAUUGGGGAUUGCAAUUAUUUCCCUCCCACGAGCAAUUCCCUGCAUGUGCGUGUCAUCAGCUUGCCCGCUUACUUCUUUGUCCUCUGUACACACCACGCGUCGGCUACUCCUGCUAGAGUACUAAAGU